rnacentral:snRNA from 1 species
AGCUUUGCGCAGUGGCAGUAUUGUAGCCAAUGAGGUUUAUCCAAGGCGCAAUUAUUGCUAAUUGAAAACAAUAAUCUUUAUUGAUGUUUCAGACUUCCUAUAAUUUCAUUUGGGUGGUAUCUAGAGGUAAGAUUGGACGUGAUAUCAGUUA